GCGUCCGCCGCCCCGAACUGCCGUCGUCCCGCUGUAAAACGAGACGUGAGGGCCCUGUCUAGCCGUGGCUUGCUGGCAGGCUCCCAAAGUGAAGAAAAAAGUGAAGAAAAGCCCCCGGCCCAUCCAACAGCUGCAGCAGGUUGCUGUCCCUGGGUCCCUCACCAGCCUGGACCCUGCGGACCACAUCAGGCCCAUUGCACAGUGUUUAACAGCCGGAGCGUCCUUAACAGGAUUUACAUCUAACAGCAUUACGGGUUCUUUCCAACCAGGCCUCACCAAUUCUGUCCUCAGCUCACCUACGAUGAGAAAGCAGAGCAUCUGUGCUGUUUCCUGAUUGUACAAAAUACUGGGAAAUGCUGCCGCAGACUGGAAUCUCCAUCAGAUUGCCAGAUGUCCUGAAUAUCCAGAAUUCUGUCUUUGCCUUUCUCAUUUUACCUGGUAUCUGGGGGUAAAUGAGACUUAGAGCCUCACGGAGCAGACUGGUGGAUGGGGCUGCUGGUCCCUUCCUUUACGUUUGCCAUCCACGUUGCAUUGGUUCACAGAAUUGCAGGGGUUGGAAGGGACCUCGAGAUCAUCAAGUCCCACCCCCCUGCUAAAGCAGGCUCCCCACAGUAGCUCUCACAGGGAGGCAUCCAGAUGCCCAGCAUGGAUUGAUUUCUGUCUGUGAAGAUUUCUUACUUGAGGCUGUUCCUUGGAUCUGCACUUUCCGGUCUGUACCAAGGCUCAGACAGUGCACGGACUUUGGGACAUAAUCCUGGUUUCUGGGGACUCAGCACUGAAAAUGCCUUUGUGCUGGAGGCAGCCUGCAUUUGGAGGUCAGGAACAUCCAGGCCCCUUAUUUCAUCUGUACUGAGAACUUAAGCUCAUUCAAAACUCUCUGCUCUCCUUGCUUUGCUCAAACUCAACCAGUAUGUUUUAGCAGGUGUAUUUACUUCUGAAACAUGUUUGUUUAGUCUAUAAUUUCAUCGUGCCCCUGGUAUUGCCUUGCUGCCAGUGACUCGCUGCUGGGAAGCAUCAAUGCAGAGGGAUGGAGAACGUGUCGUGUUGAAGUUACUAAGCUGAGGUGCUUCCAAGAAUGAAAAAAGGUGUUUGAACAAAUGUGUUUUCAUCCGACCUUCAGUAAAUCUUCUGACUUCAUUUUUCCUCCUGCAAAUUAGGCUGACAUGCUGACCCAGUCAGGCAGCACAAGUGGGAUCCAGGUCCUCCCGUUGCUGAAGGAAGCUGCAGGAACGAGGCUGCAGGAUUAAGGAGGAAGCGGAGGUUUUAAUGAAGCAGACUCCAUUCUUUGGUGGGGUGAAGGGAGCUGUCUCGUGGUGCCCCCUCGAGGUGGAGAGCUGCUCGUUUCAUUCACUGUUUAGAGCAGCUGGGAUGCGAACUGGAAGCGCAGCCCUUGCUGAAGAAGCUGAGAAAUCAGUUUGCUUUGGAAAAGAACCGUUGCAGUAACUCCACGCAAAGUUGGUGGGUUCUGGAUUCCAUUUAAAAGCGCACACUGAUCCCUCUGCCUCCAACUUUUUUGUAAUAGCCAAAGGUGUUUCUCCCCUGUGUGAGAGCUGAUCAAAGUUAAAGGCUGCCUGCUUGCAUGAGGGCAGGGACACACUUCCCACAGUGUGCUCAUUUCCCUUGAAGUCUAGGAUAUGUUUGGGUAAUAAGGGGAUCCGAAACCUCGAUGCAUUAGGAAGGCCAGCCUCUGGCUUCAAGUUAAAUAGAGGGCCCUGUGCCUGUGGGAGAAAGCCUUGCAUGGCCUGGGAAGCUGAGCGGAGGGAUGCAAGCACUGCUGCUCUGUGAAGGACUACAAACUGCAGGCUUCCUGUUAACAGCAAUUAUCAGAUGAUUUGGUUGGAAACAUCUUUUGCCAUGCGACGGCAGAUUCUCCUUUCCAAAGGCCUCAUCUUAAAUCCAACAAGGAGUGAGGAUUAUCAGUGCCAUAAGUCCUUUCGGGUCAUUGAAUGCAUUACAUUUGUUCUGGACUGAGAUGGGUAGAAGCUGAGUGUUUUGGGGCAAGGACUCCAUCUGACAGAUGAGUAUGCUGUGGGUGCGCGCUGUUUUAUCACUAGGCUACCGUUCUGCUGAGUGGGAUGAAUUUCACCUGUGUCCACUUUGCUGUCACCUUUUCACAGGAUCUUUCUGAGUCAUCCCAGGCUCCUCCCACCCGAUACGGGUUAGACACAGGAGGCAAUUGCUGGCUGUAUUUUGUCAAAGUCCUUUCAGACUUCCUGCCACACCAAAUUGUCCCAACAGCAGCACUCACUGGAAGUCUGUUAUGUUCAUUGGACCAACAUUGUUUCAGCUGCACCCUUCAGGCCAGAUAACCACAGAAGGCUUGAGAUGGCCUUGCUUUCAGAAUUAGGAGGCAGUGGAGGCUGUGGCUACCAGAGAAGGCAGCUCACACAGAUUAGGUGCAACAAAGUGGGCUGAUGAAUGCUGCACCUUAGCAAGUGGCCUUUUUUUCCUCCUCAUAGCAAGACAGCUGUGGUCUUCAGAGACACUUGGGGAACAAGAUUUCCUGAAGGGUUUUUCUUUUUUGGUCUGAUUUUCUUCUGCUUUUACUAUAGAAGGCAGACUUCAUGAACUACAGCACCUCCUCUGUCCAUCUUUUAUGUGCAGCUUGGUUUUGGAGGUUGGAAGGUUUUUUCAUCCAUUGAUUUUGUGCUCAUCGUGGAUAUGUUUUAAAAACACUCUUAAAAAAAAAAAAAAAAAAGUCCCUACUUCUCAUGGAUAAAUUUUGAUGGGGAUGGUGGGAAAUAAAUGUAAACAACUGCUGAAUGACAUGCGGAAUCUGAUAGCACAAAUCCCCUCUGCAGAGCUGUAAAUUGACUCAAAGCUCCUGUUGUGUGGAAAAGAACUCUUGGGCCCAACGAGGGGUAAGAUGUUAAUAAAACCUUUGUUCACUGUUACAAUAGGGAGCAGCUAAGUGUGGUUUGGGGUUUCUGCCAAGUUAACCCUGACUUAUUCCCAUUGUCAGAAGCACUGCUAAGAAACCCUUUAAUGUGUUAUUAAGGGUGAAAUAUGAAAAAUAGUAUUUUUCGUUUCCAAUGCUCUAUUUAAAGCAGAAGUGUUCAUUGUAAGAACAUCCUUUAUUCCCUUUCCCCACUGCUACACUCAGUGCUUUAAAGAAAAUUCACAUUUUGUGUGGCACUAAUUUUCUUCUUGUUGGAAAAAAAGUUGCUUAUGUGGUCUGAAACUGCCACCAUCUUUAAUAUGGCCAGAGUCUUAUUUUCUUUAAGAGGAAAGUGCAGGUGUUCUGAGCCCCUAAACACAUGCUAACCUGGCUUACUUGAUUGUUCCUUUGCCUGUGGCCUGUUAGUCGCUGCCCAACCAUGGUCUCUUGCUGUUCUCAGCUCCUUAGGUCAGGAUGCAUGUGCAGUGCAUUCAGAUCCAUGCACGGGUUUGCAAUGGUAGCUCAAAUAAUAAUCAAGUUGUGAAAAAUAAGACAGUAUGCAUUUCAACAAGUUCAAUUUUUUUUUCUCCAGUGAAGAAAGGUGAGAGAAAGAAAGCUUCUGUCUGCAGUCCUGCCUUUUAUUUGCAACUGCGCUGCUAGGGAUUCAGAGGCUGUGGAAGGCAGCAUUUCGAUGUAUCUCCACUAGAGGCCAAGCGUGGUGUGAUGACACCUGGUGUCAUCUUGGCAACCAGGGAAAAAAUAAAGGAGGUGGAAGGUCUAAGCUGGGCAUUCUGGUGGAGUCGAGGUGUCUUGGGAGCUGAGUGCACAGAGCUCCAGCCAUACGUUUAAAAGCAGCCUGGUGUCACAGCCACAUUCCUUCCAGCCCUCAUAACCUUUCCUUGCCCUCUGUGCCACCCGCUCAUCUGAAGAAAGGUGGCAUCUAACCAAAACACACUUUGGGUGCUUUCAAUUAUAAAUGUUUACUCCAUUCUCAAAAUGUUUUCACUCGUUUUCUUGGCAGGACCUUGAGGAUCUCUCUGGAGAGUUCUGUUCACGUAGAUAUGCACAAAAGGAACAGUUUAUCUCCAGCUCCUGCUGACUUCCAUGAAUAAUUUGUUGUAAAAGCUAAGUUGGACUUCUGCAGUCUUGAGUAACUUUGGAGUACCAGCUUCUAAUAUUCCAGCCACAGACUUAAGCAGCCUUUCUACUUUUAGAGGCCAAAGCGGCCUCUCUGAUCUCCACUUACUGUAACCACCUUGGAAAUUCCCACUCCUUUUCCCUCCUUUUGGGUUCCCCAUAAAACCAAGGGCUCCUCACUGGCAGAACUUCCCUUCUGAAUUAAAACUUAAACAAAGAUUUGAUGGAACGUGAUCUUUACUGUUUCUUCUUCAUCUCUCAAAGUGCAUGCCAGGAAAGACUGUGCUGACAUAGGAAGGUGGGCAGCUGUUUCACAGGGUGUAUUCAUACACCCAGUCUCACUGAAGGCAAACAGAAUUGCUUAUCUGAGUAAUGCCACACAUGUGCCUGAGUGAUUGCAAAGGACUGAAAGGAGUUGGGAGUAGAAAUAAUGGCACUGCUUCAUCUCUCACAGAGCAGCGCCAACAAAAUAAUGAAGCUGCAUGAAUAAAGAACCAACAUAAUAAUCGGGCUGCCAGCAUUUUUGGAAAAUUAGCACUUCUUCCAUAACAGUAACGGCUGCUGGGAAAAUGGUACAAAAUAUAACUGUCAGGUUAAGCACACCUUAAUCAACAUGCGCCGAGUCCCACUGAUGUGUCCUCAAAACUGUUACUUAAGUACUUGUUAAAGCCAAUUAAAUAAACAAAAUUUUACAGCCUAAUAGCAUAAACCACAUAAAUAACAUAAAAGAGCCAUAAUGGCUGAAUGGGUGAGUGUUUAGCCCUUCCUGAUUUAAAACAGUGAAGUGAAAAAUGUUGCAGCCCUUGAAGGUGAUUUUGAAGACGAGGAAGUGACUGUGCUACACAAACAGCAAUCAGAGACAAUUAAGAGAACUGGGACAAGUGCCUCAUUCUCUCCACAGACUGCAUGGGAAAUUGCACUUUACAUUUCAGUCUCGUUGCAUUUAAAAUAAGGCCCCCAGCUAUGUCAUUUUUCAAGUCCAACUCAAAUCAAAAGAUAUUGCUUAAAAUCUUCCUAUUACUCCAGAAGUGAAAAGAAUGAUUGUCUAUGCUGAUGAGCCCAGAAGAUUGUCUUGCAAAGACUUUGGCAGUUUUGUCUCCCAGUCAUUAUAAUGUUAUUACUGCUCCUGAAGAAGACUGACAGAGCCUGAAUGCCACAAUAAGUACUGGGGCAGUUUAGGGUAGCUGCAGAUUUCAUGUUGUUUCCCUGCCAGCAGAGAAACUGUGCUGUGCUGUGUGUCUGUUUUCUUUUAGAGCUUCAUCUGAUGAAGAAUCUUCGACUGCACAGAAACAAAACAACAGAAAAUAAAGGCAAGCUAAAAACAGCCCAUAAAAAAAUUGAAAGAAUGCAAAUAGGGAAUUUUGGCAGUAAUGCAAUUAGACAUGUCUGUAUAUAAUUAUAACCUGUAUAAAUAUAACCCUAUCCAUAGACAGGUCCCUAGCACACACAGCCCUUGGGCAGCACCUGCUCGAAACCUUUCUGGUAAGCAUGGAAAGAUUUCAGUACAAAAUGGAGAAGUGUUCUGAAGCGGUCAGGUUGCCUCGCUUUGGCAGUCAUUGUUUUGUGAGGACAGGAGCACACUGAGCUUUCGGAGCUCAUACAGCUCCUCUGAUUUGUCUUAAAUUGUGAUGCCUAGAAAUGAGCACCUCAGCUUUAAAGGUGCUUAAAGGCAGAUGUAAGUGACCAGCUUUCCCAUGGUGCAAACCAUAGAGCCAUCUAGGAUGUAAAGGACCUGUAGGGUCAGUCAAACCAGCUGCCAGUCAAACUAGCAGCCUGACCUACCAGGUCCCAUUGCUAUGCCGUGUCCAGCAGUGCCACAUCCACACUGCUGCCUCCUUCAGCAGCCCGUUCCAAAGCUUAACCACCUGCUCUGUGAAGAAAAUACUCUUAAUGUCCAAUCUAAACUUCCCUUGGUGCGACUGGAGCCUGUUUCCUCACAUCCUGUCACGUUACCUGGGAAAAGAGACCAACACCCUCCUUGCUGCAAACUCCUUUCAGACAGCUCUAGAGCACGAUGAGGCCUCCCCUCAGCCUCCUCUUCUCCAGAACGAGCAGCCCCAGUUCCUUCAGCUGCUCUGUCUUUUGGAUUUGGAGACGUAAGGAGCAGCAGAGUACGAGUAUCAUUAAUAUGUUUAUUUUUUAAAGUUGUUUUUUUUCCUAAUGGAAAAGGCUCCAAAAAUAAAUUUUAAUUAAAAGGAUAGUUAAUGCCAAAUAUAAGAAAUUAUUAAUUUUUAAAAAGUCAAUUACAAGAUUUCUUCACUCAGAUACAAUCAACUGCAUACACCGGGUAGUCUUAUAAAACAAGAAAACAAGAACUUAAAUCAAUUAUUUUCUGAUGAAAGAUGUAACUUGUACUUUUUUCUGUGUAACGAUUGAAUAAGAGAGAAAUUAUGGUUGCAGUGAUGACCUGGUGCUCGCUCCCUCUGUCCAAUGGGUAAGCUACCUCAAUUCCUGAAAAAAGUAAUGCCCUGUUGGUCUCUGAGGACUUCAGGGCAAAUAAGCUUCUUGAAACUAAGAUGGGUUUGGGAAGGAAGCCACCUGUAAAUUCUAACAAACCCAGCAACACAGCGGAGUGUCAGAAUUCGAGUCUAUCUGAAUCAGCAGUCAUACAUGGAACUGUGGAAAAGAGAAAUGCUGCAAGCCACGAGUCCUGCUCCCCAAAGCAUCUCCUGGUACCAAGACUCACGAUGGACUUCCUAGCAGCAACUUCAUCCGUUUCAGUGGGACUUCUUUGGAGCAUUCAGUGAACGAUGGCAAAGUUGAGUCCUAAGCUGUUGCUUUAAAAAAGCUUUAGGAAAAAUAUACUUAACGGCAAAUGCUGCUCUCAAUAAAAUCAAUGGGAGUUUUGUGACUUGAUUUUUA